AGUGAACGCUGGCGGUAGGCCUAACACAUGCAAGUCGAACGGCAGCACAGAGGAGCUUGCUCCUUGGGUGGCGAGUGGCGGACGGGUGAGGAAUACAUCGGAAUCUACUCUGUCGUGGGGGAUAACGUAGGGAAACUUACGCUAAUACCGCAUACGACCUACGGGUGAAAGCAGGGGAUCUUCGGACCUUGCGCGAUUGAAUGAGCCGAUGUCGGAUUAGCUAGUUGGCGGGGUAAAGGCCCACCAAGGCGACGAUCCGUAGCUGGUCUGAGCGGAUGAUCAGCCACACUGGAACUGAGAGACGGUCCAGACUCCUACGGGAUGCAGCAGUGGGGAAGAUUGGACGAUGGGCGCAAGCCUGAUCCAGCCAUACCGCGUGGGUGAAGAAGGCCUUCGGGUUGUAAAGCCCUUUUGUUGGGAAAGAAAUCCAUCUGGUUAAUACCCGGGUGGGAUGACGGUACCCAAAGAAUAAGCACCGGCUAACUUCGUGCCAGCCGCCGCAGUAA
rnacentral:rRNA from 1 species